rnacentral:lncRNA from 1 species
UUGAAGUGUAUAACAUGCAUUAGAAUCUAAUACUCAACUGAAAGAAGAAGAAAUCGUAAGAUCAAAUUUGAGCAACUUGACAUAUCUUUCAAAGGUAUGUCUAUGUUUCUUUAGGCUUUCUAGGUAUAUACCUCUAAACUUUUCAAAAUCUUUUUAGUUACCAACAUAUUGAUCAAUUCAGUUAAGCUGCUAUAAUGUUUAUUUAUAUAA